CCCUACAAAACUAAACAUAUAUAGUCAUAAUAUAGAACCAUGAUUUGGGACUUAUUUAAAAAUUCGGAAAAUAGAUCUAUCAUGUACUUCAUUUUUGGUAAUGCGUGAACCUCUCCAUAGGUCUGGGUACCACAAUGUUAAAAAAAUAUUAAUCCAAUGUGGAUAAAAUAACAAGCAGUAACGGAAAGGAAAAUUGAAAGUCUAUGUCAUCACAUGGUAUUGCCUUUUAGUGACAUGCACACAAAGGGCCACAUUGUUAGCUCAAUAUGAAACACUUCUCAUAAAUCCAACUUCAAUUUCUACACCAGCUUUGGGAACACACAGUUCUUUCCAUCUCUUUCUCCAUUUUAAAAUACGAAUACUCCUCCAUUAUUCAACAUAAUUAUAUUAAAUACAAUUGUUUAUUGAUAUUUUACUAGUUUUCUAAAAUUUUGUUAACAAAUGAAUACAUAUGAUAUUUUUCUUAUUAAGUAAAUACAGCGAUAUUUAGACUUCGAUACGUCUCUCCAUGCAAAUUCUGUAAAUAAGUUUACAUUUUUUUGUUACAAUUUUCUGUCAAUGAUAAACAUGCAUGCU
rnacentral:lncRNA from 1 species